UAAUACGUAGGGGGCAAGCGUUAUCCGGAAUUAUUGGGCGUAAAGAGUGCGUAGGUGGUUUUGUAAGCGCGAGGUGAAAGGCUAUGGCUCAACCAUAGUAAGCCUUGCGAACUGCAAGACUUGAGUGCAGGAGAGGAAAGUGGAAUUCCUAGUGUAGCGGUGAAAUGCGUAGAUAUUAGGAGGAACACCAGUGGCGAAGGCGACUUUCUGGACUGUAACUGACACUGAGGCACGAAAGCGUGGGGAGCAAACAGGAUUAGAUACCCUGGUAGUCCACGCCGUAAACGAUGAGCACUAGGUGUCGGGGUCGCAAGGCUUCGGUGCCGCAGUUAACGCAUUAAGUGCUCCGCCUGGGGAGUACGCACGCAAGUGUG
rnacentral:rRNA from 1 species